rnacentral:lncRNA from 1 species
AUAAAAAUCUUUUAAUUUUGCAUAUACAUAAUAUAAUAUAGAUCCACAGUAAAUCAUGUAACAAUCUCAAACCGAUAUCAUAUAAAGGACCGGCUUAGUGCCGACCCAGAAUAAUAAAUAUGUACAAUCAAUAUCAAUGUUAACCUGUUGACAAUUCACAUCUACAUUAUUUUCCUUUUGUGUGUCGCUUCUCUUCCUUCCACAAUGCAUUAAUCCUCACGCUUUUGUGUCCUAAAGGUACCAUGCAUAGUUUUAAAUCAAUUUUAGGUAUUUGUUGUAAUUCUGCUGUGAACAUGGCGUAAUUAACUAUUAUAUUAUGUAUUUGUGUAUUCCUCUGUCUUGAGUGUUCUUGCAUUCAUUUGUACUGUAUUCCUGUCUUGUAAUGUUUACAUUUAGCGAUAUAUUUAACAUUUCCAUUAGGCGCGAGGUUUGCUAGCAAAAGAAUCCAGGUUCAACCAAUUUUUGCUUGAAAUAUCC